CUUGUCCCCAGAGGCACUGCUGGUGUGGCUGCCGUGACACCUACAUAUCAGUAGGUGGCAGAGAGCUGAGAGGCCAUGUCCUCACUCAGUGCUCUGACCUAUGAGCACCCCUGAAAACAGUGACCCUGAGAUG
rnacentral:snoRNA from 1 species